GUAAGUACAUAUUCUUCUUGUUCAUCUCCUUUUUCUUUUAUGUGGAUAUACAUGUGUGGUUUGAUGAUAACAUGAGAAAUUGGAUGAUUUGUUAUGCUAUUUUUGUUCAGAAACAUAUUUGUAUGUGGUAAGAAUUCAUCAAUUUAAUUGUCCCCAGUGUGUCUUAGAUGAAUUAAUAAUCUAGGGUUCAUGAUGAAAUUGGGGCUUUUGUAUAAGUUGUAGUGAGCACAUGACAUGAUGACUCUUAAAUGGAUUUUAAAUAUAGUUUGGUUCAUAAUCACUAAGUUUGAUGUUUCUAACAUAAUGUAAGUGUUUAAUUGGUGUUCGAGCCAUGAAAUAAGGGUGUAUAUAAAAGGUUGGGUCGAACUGAAGAAGAAACUACACCUGGAUUUUCGCAGCUUUUACACUGAUUUUAGGCUAUUUUGUAAAAAUCAUAUAAAAUCAGCCGAGUGUCCGUUUUGGGUGUUCUUUAUAUGCUUGAAAACCUUGUGGAGUGUAGAUUAUACAGAAUUUUAGAACAAGGUAAAACAUGGCCGUUAAGUGGGUCAAAAAUGUGAAAUACUACAGGCUAUACAUGCUGUGUAAAAUGUUAAGUUCAUCUAAUGAAUCUAAAAAAAAUAAUAAAAAAUUAUUUCUCAAUUUAGGUAGAACUUGGGUUAUAGGUUCCAAUGGACCAAACAUGUUUACAAAUGUAUGAUUUAGUUAUUGUGAAUCCAAAAGUGUGGUAAACGAACGUAGUAUACAAUAUGAACUUUUGAAACGGGUCAAACACAAAGCAAAAGAUUCAUAGUUUUUAAUUGACACCACUUAUGUAAACAUGAUUGAAUAUGUGUGUUUUACCUAGUUUCCUUCUUAUUGGCUAGUUUGAAUUUAGAAGAUUAACUAAAAUCCAAUAAGGAACGCAAGGUGGAAGCUUUGGGCAAACAAGGUAAGUGUUUUAUAAUUUAUUCUACAAUUCUAUAUAUAAGAUUGUGCAUUACAAGAAUCCUUUACAGAUAUACUAAAGAGAAAAAUGCUCGGAUAGUUCCUGUGGUUUCGCCUUUUUUCACCUUUAGUCCCUAACUUUCUAAAAUUACCUCAAUAGUCCCCAACUUUUCAUUUUUUGUUCCCGGAUAGUCCCUGGGUCUAACUUCAGUUUGUUUUCUCUGUUAAAUGGGUGUGAAAUGACCAAUUUACCCUUUCCUUAAAAAGGGCAAACCACAGGGACUAGAUCAGAAACAUUAUCAUCUUUCACCAUUAAAACCCUUCUUCCUCUUCUCUGUGUUUUCUCCGGCGAACAAGACCCACAUCACCUCACCCUAUUUCACCUCCGAUUACCCCAUCAUUAAUCACCGCCGGCGACCACCUCUCCACUGUCAAACCUCCAAUCGAUCACCACCAAUCGCAUGUUCAAUAAAUUUCAUCACCGUAAUGAAACCACGAUAUAUUACAUAAUCACUCUAACAAACCUCGUAGAUCGUUGUUGGCAGAGACCCAUCUUGUUACAAAAAGAAGUACUUAGAAACAAAUUUCAGCACAUGAAUGAAGCAAAUUUUCAGAAUGAACUGGAAACGAGACGCACAUCAAGUCUAAGAUAAUACACUCUAUUGAGUUCUAGUCUGGUCAACUUAAGGCAAUUUCUAAAAACAUAAUCGUUAUCAUCGAUAAAACACAAAUCUGCAUCCCAUUUAACAGUUUUCUUCUUAGGGUUAGAUGCUUGUAUUGCUGCUCUAUCAAUAUCAUGUUGCUCUUUUGCUUUGUUAGCAAGCUCUCUAAUAGUUAUGAAGUCGGUUCCUUCAGGUAUCUCCACUAAUACAGUCAUCCCAUUCGGCAACAGGAUUUGGGUGUUUUUGGAGCAAGAAGAAUGUUACCUGAGGGUGAUUACUCUGUUCCGUCCGAUGCGGCUGCCGCCCCGCUCCCGUCGCUCAUCGGAGUUACCAUGGUGGUGAUCGAUCGGAGGUUUGACAGUGGAGAGGUGGUCGCCGGCGGUGAUUAAUGAUGGGGUAAUCAUGUUGGAAUUAAUUGACCCGGAUCCGACCCAGGUCCGAUCCGCCCACAAAACUGAUCAAUAAUUGGCACUUAGGCAGUUUUUUGUGACGGUUAAGAAACUGUCACAAAAGACCUAUAAAACAAGGCAAUGUGAUUAGAAGUACGUGUGUGUGAAUUUGACGGUUCACAUAAUACAAUCCGAAGGGCAGUGAAGAGUGUGCAAACAAGAGAAAUUUAGAUUGUGAUUCAAGAAGAUUUUCCCAUUGGUGAUCAUCUUCGAACCGGUGAAAUAAACUCUACUCGAUCCGCUUCCGCAAUACAAUCCGAAACUUUGUGUUCAAACAUGGCUUCUGCAUCAAAGAACAUUGUUGCUGAAAUGAAUAAGGGAAUCAAACUCAAUGGGGAUAACUAUGAAAUCUGGAGCAUGAAAAUCCAGUAUGUCUUGGAAGAGCAAGAGGCUCAUGAGGUUCUUACUGACAUUUUGGAGGAACCCCCGGAAGGAAACACGGCUCAACAUAAACGAGACCGUGAACUGUACAACACUUGGAAAAGGAAAAACACCCUUGCUCGCAUCACUCUGUUGAGCAGUAUGGAUGAUGACAUAAUGCGUGAUUUCAGCAAGUACGAUCUCGCAAAAGACAUGUGGUCUGCUUUAGCCAAUAAGUUUGGCGCAACCUCAAUUACUAAACUGAGAUCGUUGACUAUCAAGUUUGACCAAUACAUAAAGAAACCUGAUCAUACUAUGAAAAAGCAUCUCAGGGAGAUGUCAAACAUGAUAAGUGAUCUGAAAAAUGCUGGACACAUCCUUACUGAUGAACAACAGGUUCAGGAGGUGAUUCGUUCCUUGCCUCAAAGUUGAGAAAUCAUGAAAAUGAACCUCACCCAUAACGAAACCAUUCUGACUUUUGAAGACUGUGCACGUCAUUUGGAACUUGAAGAAGAUCGGCUUGAGGCUAGUAAGUCACUUGCUGAAGAAACACUUUCGUCAUAACAAACGGAAAGGGUUUCGAGUCGGAAAGAAGGCAAUAAACAACACACAAGACAAGGGAAAGCGUCCCUUUAAGAAGAAAUUGAACAUGGCAAAAGUGAAAUGCUACAACUGUAACAACAAAGGGCACUUUGCUCGUGACUGUACCGAUCAGAAAAAGACUCAGGAGCCACAGACCACAUCUCAAAAGACAGAAACACCUUCGUAAAUUUUCGCCGAGUUCCGCAAGGGGCAAUGUGGAUAUAUGUAGGAAAUAACUCAAGAGUUGAAGUUGAAGGCAUUGGAUCGUGCAAGUUAGUCAUGCGCGAAGGACAUACCUUAAUCCUACAUGAUGUAUUAUAUGCUCCUCAAAUUCGACGAAACUUGAUUUCUGUUUUAGCAUUAUUAAAACUAGGUUAUGACUGGCACUUUCAUGGUAAUGUUGUUGAAUUGUCUUUAGACAAGACGUCUUAUGGUAAUGGUUAUGUACUAAAUGGUUUUAUUGUAAUGGAUGUUGAUUAUCUAAGUCGUAAUGUAAGUGCUUCUUUAGUUGCA